rnacentral:rRNA from 1 species
AUCCAGACUCCCCGUCCUCGCGGCACUUUACCUCGCGGCGCUCCGCUCCGCCCCGCCCCGCCCACCUCCUGCUACGCCCCUCGCGCCGCCGGCCGCCUCCUGCCCCGCUCCGCCCCUCACCACGCGCCGCCGGCCUUCUCCUGCCUCCCAAUCCCAUCUCGCGGCUUUCUCCGCCGUUCACCGCUCCCCUCCACCUACUGGUCGCGACCUCGUGGGAGGCAGAGGAUGGGAGGGUGCGGCGCUGGCGUCCGACUCCAGGAGCUCGAGAGGGCCGAUCUGCGUGUCGGCGACCUCGCGGGAGGCAUGGCGUGGCGUGUUGCGCUCGAGACGAGCGGGCUCGAGUAAGGGGAUUGGAGGGUGGCGCCGGCGGGAUCGUGGACGGGGAUGGAGUGGGCGGGUGCCGGCAAGAUCGAGGCCGGGGAUGGAGAGGGCGGUCGGCGAGCUGGCGGCUGAGUAUGGAAGAGGCGACACUAAUUCGCUGCUACCCGCACCGCACCACGUCCCUAGCUUCCUCCUCUCUGAUCGAACCGAGUCCGUUUUACAAAGGGAUCCAGCGACUAGAGGGGAGCUGCCACAGGUGACGCUGCCGGAGAAGCUGGCGAGGUUCCUCCAGAAGUGCGCCGAAGGAGUUCCAGAACGAGCCCCGGUAUAGCGGCGACCGGUGGUACCUUCGCGGCUGGGUUCCAGAUGAACAGGCAUGGUGGGAGGGCGAUGCUCUGUUGACUGCUUUUCUUAUAAUAUUACAGAGGGAGGAUCGAAGUGGAGAUUGGUACUUUCCCUUUCAGUGGCCAAAGAAAAGCAACACUUUUUCAUGUGAUUUCAGAUGAAACGACCAGAGUGUGUAAAAUCUGGAUCGCUACAAACAGGUCAAGAAUAAAUUCUCCAAGCUCUCAGAAGAGAAGCAAUAAUGUGACUCCCAGGUGCCUCUCUGAGAGAAAAGCUGGAGAUGAUUUGCCAGUGGCAAAACAAAGGGAAGUAAUUGCCGCGGACGCCAGCCAGGUGUUCAUGCUAUUGGAUUAAUGUUUUCUGCUCUUAAUAAUGCUUCCUUUUUCUUCUUUUAGAACCCUUCUUUUGUACUCUUACAAAUAGCAGAUGAAAGGAGAAGGAUGAAGAAGUCAAGCUAUUGGAGAGAUCAAUUGAGGAGCUCAAAAGAACUUUAGUGUUCUCAAAAGUAACUUGAUUUAGUUUGAGUGAAUUUUGUGGCCUAAGUGUUGUAGCUAUUCAUUUUGCCACGCAUUCUGAAUGUUAGUACACACCCAUGUUGGUACAUAACUCCUAUUGUUAUGCCUGUUAUGACAACAACUUUCCC